rnacentral:rRNA from 1 species
GACGAACGCUGGCGGCGUGCUUAACACAUGCAAGUCGAACGGAAAGGCCCUGCUUUUGUGGGGUGCUCGAGGGGCGAACGGGUGAGUAACACGUGAGUAACCUGCCCUUGACUUUGGGAUAACUUCAGGAAACUGGGGCUAAUACCGGAUAGGAGCUCGUGCUGCAUGGUGGGGGUUGGAAAGUUUCGGCGGUUGGCGAUGGACUCGCGGCUUAUCAGCUUGUUGGUGGGGUAGUGGCUUACCAAGGCUUUGACGGGUAGCCGGCCUGAGAGGGUGAACGGCCACAUUGGGACUGAGAUACGGACCAGACUCCUACGGGAGGCAGCAGUGGGGAAUAUUGCACAAUGGGCGGAAGCCUGAUGCAGAAACGCCGCGUGCGGGAUGACGGCCUUCGGGUUGUAAACCGCUUUCGCCUGUGACGAAGCGUGAGUGACGGUAAUGGGUAAAGAAGCACCGGCUAACUACGUG